GAUGAAGAACGUAGUAAAAUGCGAUAAGUAAUGUGAAUUGCAGAAUUCAGUGAAUCAUCGAAUCUUUGAACGCACAUUGCGCCCGCCAGUAUUCUGGCGGGCAUGCCUGUUCGAGCGUCAUUUCAACCCUCAAGCCCUCGGGUUUGGUGUUGGGGAUCGGCGAGCCUUUCUGGCAAGCCGGCCCCGAAAUCUAGUGGCGGUCCCGCUGUAGCUUCCUCUGCGUAGUAGCACACCUCGCACUGGGAAACAGCGUGGCCACGCCGUAAAACCCCCCACUUCUGAAAGGUUGACCUCGGAUCAGGUAGGAAUACCCGCUGAACUUAAGCAUAUCAAUAAGCGGAGGA
rnacentral:misc_RNA from 1 species